GGACUGUCUCUGUUGUUACAGGUCAUUGACUGACAGCUGCUCCUGGUUUGAAAAAGAAGACUUAAAUGAGUGUGAAGAACCAUGGGGUUUGUUACUGAAAGGCAUCAGUCAAGAUUCCCAACGCGCAGACUGGCAGGCAGUGCCCAGGUUUCCAGAGUUCUUUGGAAAGGUAGUGUGCUGUACCCUUAGCUCCAAGGAAGAGAGUCUACAAGAACAGGAAGUCUUUACAGCUGGAAAGAAAGACUUUCCAUGGGUGUCAUUCCCAUCUUUUUGCAAAGAAGAACUUCUAAACCCAGAGGAUCUUAGCUCCUAUCAGCUAACACAGAGCCAGAUCAACCACCUACAUAAAGGACAAGGCCAAGCAGAUAAACUGAGCAGUUUACCAUGUGCAGCUGAGAAGAUGUGCUGUGUAACUAUUACAGAUCAAGCCAAACAUGUGGUUGGGGAAGACACAGAAGCUAUUUCAAAACCAGAUGCAAGUCUGAAGUCAUGUAAACUCACUUGGCACGGGAGUUCUGUGCACCACUUGGCAUUGCCACAAUGCUCUGCAAAAGCUUUGAGCUAUCAAGAGCAUUGCAGAGGGACUGCACAGAACAGCAUGGAAAAUGGAAAAGAAAAUCAUGGAAAAGAGCUUCAGCUACAAACACAUCAAGGGGAUGUUUCCUUUGGAGAGGCCAGAUGCUCACCUGCAGAAGAGAACCUGCCUCUUGCAAGUUUACCUCAAACCAAGAGCUGCAAGGAAGAAACAGAAAAUCAGGGUGAAGGAGCUCCAACUCUUGACAGUUGUCCCAUGUGUCUCAUUUGCUUUAGUGGAAUGCUGUCACAACCAGACAUUGAUGAGCACCUUGCUAUGUGCUUGUCUGAAAGUACAGAUGAUGUAGUGUGGUAAAUCCUAAAUCCAGAAGAAUGAAAAGGAACCAAGCCAAGGAGGAACGUCUCUCAUAAGAAAAGGAAAAACACGUGGAGGAAGCACGUCCUU